rnacentral:lncRNA from 1 species
ACCCCAGCUCAGACUGAUAGACUCAAAUGAACACAUAAAAAGAAUCGAAUUAGGAGCGAGCAUCCCGGGGGUUAUUCUGAAGUACCGGAAGACCUCGAUAAAGAAAGGCGAAAAAGGAAAUGUUAAGCCAUACUCGCGCUGUUUGACAAAGAAAACCAAACUGCGGUCUUUUUGGGGGUCGAUUAGACCAGAGGGAGGAGGAUUGGGAAGAACAAUCCUCUCAUUGGGAAGGGGAGCUCGAAUACGAAAAAGAGGGAUAUUCAGAUACUCUCGAGAGAAGAAAUUUCUCAGGGUAGAAGAGGUGAUGUUAGACUCUAGAUUCAUAACAUUGGGGAGCCUUGGGCUAUCCGUGGCAGUAUGAAAAACGUACCUUAAAGAUGAGUGAGGCAGAAAGGCAGGAUGAACAGAGCACGCAGAAAGCAGAAGGAGGGUAAGGGUUUCACGAAAAUUGGGAAAACUUGGGGAGAAUUUGAAUUUUGAAAACAAAAAGAGAAGAAGAGACGUUUUGAUGGGAACUGUCCUCGAGCCGCACAGUCAUAAUAGGUUCUUGAUAUUUACCCCCUCA